GCUCUUUUCAGUUGAAAUGACUUACUUUCUCUUUAUAGUGGAUUUUUCAAGUAAAUGCUCAAUCUUUGAUUAUCCUUCUUUCUUUUCCAUAUAGCAUCUGGAAACAUAAGGAGCUUAUGAAGUCCUUGCAGCAGAGUUGAAGGAGCCUCAGAUGUGAUUGGAGGUCAUUGGGAAACACUGUGGGUCUUCUCUAUCUGGCCUUAAAGUUGUAAAUGUAUGAAACAAAACUGUGGCUGGAUGAAGAAGGUGGCAAAGGUAUAUAAAUCAUAUGUUACAGAAAUCCAGAGACCAUUUGACGUAUAAUGGAUGGCUGCAUACAAACACUUAAGACUCUUAAGAGGAUAUAGCACACCAGAGAUAUUAUUAUGAUGGUUAUCAGGGGGAUAACACUAAGUGACUAAAGUAUAGUCCUUAACAGGAGCUCCCACAAAUCGAAAUGAUCAAAAUAAAGUAUAUCAAAUACGAGCUGGACAAGGAAGGUACUUGUUUUAUUAUUUAUCAUCCUAGAGCAACUGUUCUUACUUUUGACUGCAUAUCAAAAUCAAAUGGGGAGAGUUUGUUGCAUUUGCUAGUGGUUUUGAAUUUCUAUUUUGAAACUUUUGUUUUCAAAGUUUUAACCUCAAAUGCAUUAAUAAAGAAAAUAAAUAAGAGGAAUCCAAUAAGGUCCACCAAGAAUAAGAUCCACCAAGAAUCCACAGCUAUUCAUUUACCUACAUCUAUCUAGCAAUAUAGUUUUGAAAUAUAUCAAAUAAAAACAUACAGAAUUAUGAACAGAAAAGGAUCAAUCCACAGCCAUAUAUAAAACAAAUAAAGAUGAAUUUAGAAAUAAGUCACAGAAGAAAAACUGGAAAAUUCUCAAAUACCUGGAAAUUAAACAACAUACUCAAACAAUCAAUGGAUCAAAGAAGAAAUCA
rnacentral:lncRNA from 1 species